CAGCAGCCGCGGGAAUACGAAGGGUGCAAGCGUUAAUCGGAAUUACUGGGCGUAAAGCGUGCGCAGGCGGUUUUGUAAGACAGGCGUGAAAUCCCCGGGCUCAACCUGGGAAUGGCGCUUGUGACUGCAAAGCUAGAGUGCGGCAGAGGGGGAUGGAAUUCCGCGUGUAGCAGUGAAAUGCGUAGAUAUGCGGAGGAACACCGAUGGCGAAGGCAAUCCCCUGGGCCUGCACUGACGCUCAUGCACGAAAGCGUGGGGAGCAAACAGGAUUAGAUACCCCCGUAGUCCCUGUCUCUUAUAC
rnacentral:rRNA from 1 species